CCUACGGGGGGCAGCAGUCGGGAAUUUUGCUCAAUGGGGGAAACCCUGAAGCAGCAACGCCGCGUGAGGGAUGAAGGCCUUCGGGUUGUAAACCUCUUUUCUCAGGGAAGAUGAUGACGGUACCUGAGGAAUAAGCCACGGCUAACUACGUGCCAGCAGCCGCGGUAAUACGUAGGUGGCGAGCGUUGUCCGGAUUUACUGGGCGUAAAGAGCGCGCAGGCGGUCGUGCAAGUCGCGUGUGAAAGCCCCCGGCUCAACUGGGGAGGGUCACGCGAUACUGCUCGACUCGAAGGCAGGAGAGGGAAGUGGAAUUCCCGGUGUAGUGGUGAAAUGCGUAGAUAUCGGGAGGAACACCAGUGGCGAAGGCGACUUCCUGGCCUGUUCUUGACGCUGAGGCGCGAAAGCUAGGGUAGCAAACGGGAUUAGAUACCCCAGUAGU
rnacentral:rRNA from 1 species